CUUGAGCGAGCCCAGCCACAGCGGGUUCCCGGGGUCGCGGUCGCGGCCGUAGGUGGCCAGCAGCGCCUGUGCCUC
rnacentral:antisense_RNA from 1 species